AAAGUAGGGGGAAUUGCCGCUGAUGCUUUUUGCAUGAGAGGAAGGUCCGGACACCACAUGGCAUCGUAACGGGUAACGCCCGUCCAUCGCAAGAUGAGGACAAGUGCAACAGAAAGUAUGUACGGAGGCCCUUCGGGGUCUCGCUGUAGUGAAAUCAGGUAAACUCUACGAGGUGCAAGCUCGAAUAGGUCUGUGUCUGAAAGCGGCCAGCUUAAAUAGACGGGUAGAGUGCUGGAGGUUCAGAGUAAUUUGAAUCCUAGAGGAAUGGCAAUUCUCGACAGAAUCCGGCCUACACCCCUUCUUUUACU
rnacentral:RNase_P_RNA from 1 species